UGAAGAGGGCACUGGAUCCCUUGGGUCUGGACUCAUAGCAGUCAUGUGGGUACUGGAAAUAGAACCCCAGUCCUCUGGAAGAGCAGCCCACGCUCUGCUGAGCCAUCUUUCCAGCCCCUGUAGAAGCUUUGGACCAAGGUCCUGAAAUGUAGCGGCUGUCCUCUAGGAAGAGGAAGUAACACAAGUAUUCUCUUCUUAACGGCUUUCGGAACAGAACACGCCCAUCAAUACCUUGAGCUUGUGGUUUACCCUGAAACAUUUAUAAUGAUCUGUUUCCCUUUGAGAGCUGUACUUGCUGAAGCUGAGAUGCAACGAAUGAGAAGCGUUGAAAGUAAUGAACUUUUUAGCUGCUGACUGUGGAAUAAAACACUAGAGUGAGCACUCAGCAUGUCCAAGUGUUCAAAGCCAAGCGUGGUCAGAAGCAAAGAACGUUCUAGAACAUUUUAUCUCCACUGCUUUACUUGAGUAUUCUGCUUAUUGGGAAAGAAAUGAGACAUUUUCUAUUUAAUUUUUUGCUUGCCAGGGAUAACAACAAACAAGGGGACACCAUGACGCAAUUCCGCGGCAGCACUUUGCCUGUGCUGUUGCAGAGCUGGACUAGGGUGAAGCAUAGGUGAGAAACAUCUAUCCUGAAUGUCCCUCCCUGAGCCAGGCCCAUGAGCGAGGGAUGUUACCAAGAAGUAUCAAGAGCAGAACAAAGUCUGAACCACUCUGUAUCCUUGGGAGGAGGCACACGCCCAGCCUCCUUCCCUACCAAAGGCCUGCCCAGGCCAGAAAUCAGCACACAGUGACAGGGACAGCUCCUCCCAACUAUGAGGAAGAUGACUUUCCUCCCAUGUAAAAGAUAUCCUUGGAAGAAAGAGGAGAAUGUUAAAGAUAGUUAUUAUGGGAAAUUGGAGCUUUAGUGAUUUUUUUUAAUCCAAGAUUUUAUAUUUUACAACAAUCCCUUCAGAACAUAUACUUAUCUGUCAAGUUGAAGUUUAGCCUUUACUUCCUCAGGGUGAAGCGAUAGGUACUUAUCUCUAUUUUCUGUCUCAGACCAGAUAAAUAUUCAAAAGCAGAAAGGGACCCCAUUCAUGCCUCACUUAACAUCUUUUGUGUGUACCCCAGUUUUUGCAGGGUGCAAGUUUUGAGUUUUUCAACCAGUGCCUAUAUGAUAUAAUCUCUGCUCCACUGAAUAUUUUAUUAUUGUGCAACUUUUUGUUGGCAUGCUACGUUCCUUAUAAGAGAUUUAUUUGCAACCUCCACCCAUAUCAGCUCCAUGAGUUUGCUCUCUCAUAUGCUCACCUGCAUCGCAUGUGCUGUGAACUUCAUCUCAUAUUGCUGGCUUUAUUCCCAUUCUCCAUGAAAGUUCAUCUCAGAGUCAAGCCUUCCUAUACCAUGCAGUGUAGCUGUUAGUGAUGUUGUGUCUGUAUUAGUGCCUCAUCACCAGACUACAAACCUUGUAAAGACAUUCGAAAACAAUCUUUGCCUUCUACAAAUGAAGGGACGUUGUAGAAACUAAAUAGUAUUUUGCCAAAUAAAAUUUUAUUUGAUUUAUA